rnacentral:rRNA from 1 species
AGUGGCGGACGGGUGAGUAAUGUCUGGGAAACUGCCUGAUGGAGGGGGAUAACUACUGGAAACGGUAGCUAAUACCGCAUAACGUCGCAAGACCAAAGAGGGGGACCUUCGGGCCUCUUGCCAUCGGAUGUGCCCAGAUGGGAUUAGCUAGUAGGUGGGGUAACGGCUCACCUAGGCGACGAUCCCUAGCUGGUCUGAGAGGAUGACCAGCCACACUGGAACUGAGACACGGUCCAGACUCCUACGGGAGGCAGCAGUGGGGAAUAUUGCACAAUGGGCGCAAGCCUGAUGCAGCCAUGCCGCGUGUAUGAAGAAGGCCUUCGGGUUGUAAAGUACUUUUCAGCGAGGAGGAAGGCAUUAUGGUUAAUAACCGCAGGCGAUUGACGUUACUCGCAGAAGAAGCACCCGGCUAACUCCGUGCCAGCAGCCGCGAGUAAUACGAGAAGGGUGCAAGCGGUUAAUCGGAAAUUACUGGGCGUAAAGCGCACGCAGGCGGGUCUUGUCAAGUCGGAUGUGAAAUCCCCGGGCUCAACCUGGGAACUGCAUCCGAAACUGGCAGGCUAGAGUCUUGUAGAGGGGGGUAGAAUUCCAGGUGUAGCGGUGAAAUGCGUAGAGAUCUGGAGGAAUACCGGUGGCGAAGGCGGCCCCCUGGACAAAGACUGACGCUCAGGUGCGAAAGCGUGGGGAGCAAACAGGAUUAGAUACCCUGGUAGUCCAACGCCGUAAACGAUGUCGACUUGGAGGUUGUGCCCUUGAGGCGUGGCUUCCGG